CACUGCCGAGAAAAGCCUCUAGAUAGAAAAUAGGUGCCCGUACCGCAAACCGACACAGGUAGUCAAGAUGAGAAUUCUAAGGUGAGCGAGCGAACUCUCGUUAAGGAACUCGGCAAAAUGACCCCGUAACUUCGGGAGAAGGGGUGCUCUUUAGGGUUAACGCCCAGAAGAGCCGCAGUGAAUAGGCCCAAGCGACUGUUUAUCAAAAACACAGGUCUCUGCUAAACCGUAAGGUGAUGUAUAGGGGCUGACGCCUGCCCGGUGCUGGAAGGUUAAGAGGAGUGGUUAGCUUCUGCGAAGCUACGAAUCGAAGCCCCAGUAAACGGCGGCCGUAACUAUAACGGUCCUAAGGUAGCGAAAUUCCUUGUCGGGUAAGUUCCGACCCGCACGAAAGGCGUAACGAUUUGGGCACUGUCUCAACGAGAGACUCGGUGAAAUCAUAGUACCUGUGAAGAUGCAGGUUACCCGCGACAGGACGGAAAGACCCCGUGGAGCUUUACUGUAGCCUGAUAUUGAAAUUCGGCACAGCUUGUACAGGAUAGGUAGGAGCCUUUGAAACGUGAGCGCUAGCUUACGUGGAGGCGCUGGUGGGAUACUACCCUAGCUGUGUUGGCUUUCUAACCCGCACCACUUAUCGUGGUGGGAGACAGUGUCAGGCGGGCAGUUUGACUGGGGCGGUCGCCUCCUAAAAGGUAACGGAGGCGCUCAAAGGUUCCCUCAGAAUGGUUGGAAAUCAUUCAUAGAGUGUAAAGGCAUAAGGGAGCUUGACUGCGAGACCUACAAGUCGAGCAGGGUCGAAAGACGGACUUAGUGAUCCGGUGGUUCCGCAUGGAAGGGCCAUCGCUCAACGGAUAAAAGCUACCCCGGGGAUAACAGGCUUAUCUCCCCCAAGAGUUCACAUCGACGGGGAGGUUUGGCACCUCGAUGUCGGCUCAUCGCAUCCUGGGGCUGUAGUCGGUCCCAAGGGUUGGGCUGUUCGCCCAUUAAAGCGGUACGCGAGCUGGGUUCAGAA
rnacentral:rRNA from 1 species